rnacentral:lncRNA from 1 species
AUGUUUUAAUCAAAUUACAUUUCUCUCAAAUUAUACUUUCUGACAUCCAAAUAAGGCAAGUGACAAUCAAAUAAGUGUGUGAGGCACAUGCACAGGGUUGCAGAUGUAAUUGCAGGGUACAGUGAAAUUCUUAUGCUCUGAGCUCCGACAAUGCAGGUCAAAGAGAAGUGAGUGGCAACUACUAAUUGGAUAUCACGAAAUUGGGCAGAAAACAAAAAAGAAAAGUGAGUGAAACAAAAGUAAAAUAGAAUAGAAAAAGAUCACAAGACGGCAUAUAUAUAUAUAUAUAAUAUACAGAGUGUACAAAACAUUAAGAACAUUUUCUUACUAUUGAGUUGCACCCCCUUUUGCCCUCAGAACAACCUAAAUUUAUCAUGGCAUGGACUCUACAAGAUGUCGAAAGCGUUCCACAGGGAUGCUGGCCCAUGCUGACUCCAAUGCUUGCCACAGUUGUGUCAAUUGUGCUGGAUGUCCUUUGGGUGGUGGACCAUUUUUUUGAUACACAAGAAAAUAUUGAGUGUGAAAAACCCAGCAGUGUUGCAGUUCUUGGCACAAACCGGUGCGCCUUGCAUGUCCAUGUCUCAAUUGUGUCAAGGCUUAAAAAUCCUUCUUUAACCCAUCCCCUCCUCUUCAUCUACACUGAUUGAAGUGGAUUUAACAAGUGACAUCAAUAAGGGAUCAUAGCUUUCACCUGGAUUCACCUGGUCAGUCUGUCAUGGAUAAAGCAAGUGUCCUUAAUGUUUUGUAUGCGCAGUGUAUAUAUACAUAUUUUCAACUAGUUUGCUGCAGUUAAGUGGCAAAGUAUGUAAACAAGGAUACUUGUCCAUAGAGUGAUGGGUGAGCAACAAGGAUAAAUGUCCUUUGGGGGGGUGGGGGCUAUUGGCCAGUCUGUCAGUUUUUGCCAGGAUGCUCCUACACUGUGCUCUGAGCACAUCAGAGCACAUACAAAGAAGUUAUCGAGGAUCUGUUAGUCCAGUGUAGGUAGACCGCCAUGUAUUGUUGCCUGUACCUUUUGAUGAUGUGGUUUUUACUGAAGCUUGACAUUACUUUUAACUGCAGCAGACUACAUUAUCUGAGAGGAUAUCACCUGACCCACCCACUUGCCUCCCCUCCUUUAGACUACAUUAUCUGAGAGGAUAUCACCUGACCCACCCACUUGCCUCCCCUCCUUUAGGUUACAUGUUCUUUCCAUUAGCCUUACAAUAAACGGGCUCUACUGAUCAAAAUGCAUAAAUGGUGGGCCGCCCAUCUUUCUUUUCAUUAUGUUUUGGAUUCAUAAAAAGGCCCAGGGAGUGGGCGAGAGGUAGGGGGUUAUUUAUUUGUUCCUUUUGAGUGUUUUUUCACCCCAUUCCAUCUGGUUCCAUCUGAUAAAACCAUAGGCAUACAAAUUGUAUUCAUGUCAUUGGAUAAAUCAUACUUACCAGUUUCAGAAUGUCUGGUCUCUGCAUUUGUACUCUCAUCAACAUUCUGGUACACUAACACUGGGAUUGGAUCACUGUAAAAACAAU